GGCAUCGGGUGUAGCAAUACAUGCCGGCGACCGGCGCACGGGUGCGUAACACGUAUGCAAUCUACCUUUUACAGGGGCAUAGCCCGGAGAAAUUCGGAUUAAUACCCCAUAACACUAGAAGUGGCAUCACUUUUAGUUGAAAGCUGAGGCGGUAAAAGAUGAGCAUGCGACUGAUUAGUUAGUUGGCGAGGUAACGGCUCACCAAGACUACGAUCAGUAGGGGUACUGAGAGGUUAUACCCCCACACUGGUACUGAGACACGGACCAGACUCCUACGGGAGGCAGCAGUAAGGAAUAUUGGACAAUGGCCGCAAGGCUGAUCCAGCCAUGCCGCGUGCAGGAAGACGGCCCUAUGGGUUGUAAACUGCUUUUGUACGGGAGAAAACCCCCCUUCGUGAAGGGGGCUGAUAGUACCGUAAGAAUAAGCAUCGGCUAACUUCGUGCCAGCAGCCGCGGUAAGACGAAGGAUGCAAGCGUUAUCCGGAUUCAUUGGGUUUAAAGGGUGCGUAGGUGGUUUGGUAAGUCAGUGGUGAAAUCUCUGAGCUUAACUCAGAAACUGCCAUUGAUACUGCUGAACUUGAGUGCAGUUGCUGUGGGCGGAAUAUGACAUGUAGUGGUGA
rnacentral:rRNA from 1 species